rnacentral:rRNA from 1 species
GCCGCACCUCUCUUAUCCUUUUCUUCGUUCCCCACUCUCUCGCCAUUUCUUCAUCGCGCAUGGGACAGAUGAGCGAGAGAGAGAGCCCUUGCGUAGGCGGCGAGGCGGCCGGCGGCGAGCCAAUCGGCAGUUAUGCAGCCCGCGCCGUACCCGAAGCUGUGCGAUGUCAGGAGAGGAGGCGUGCGGCGGCGAGGCGAGGAGCGGGAAGAGGCGUGUGAAGCUGCUGUGAUUCGAAUCCUCGAUGGUGGUCGGCGGAGGCAGCAGUCGGCCAAGAUGCCGGUGCGCGGCGCCGUGUUGACGGUGGAGGAGGGAGCCUCGCGCGCGUGGUGAUUGCUGGUCACAGGGGCCGAGGUGCUAGGGUGGAGAUUCAUGGGCUCGUCGUCCCCGCCGCCGCCGCCGGCCCCGUCCUCACGCUCCAGCUGGAUCGACCGAUGGAGCUCUUCUGCGCCACCACCAGCCCCGCGGGCGCGCAACCCCGCCACAUCUAUGUGGCCGGACCGACGCUGCCUAUGCGACUAUGUCGAGGACGGACUCGUGUGUCAAGGCUGACGAGGAGGAGAACCACGCCGCCGCCCCGUGUUUGGUGCCUACCAAGGGAUCUCCGCCCGCCCCACGUCCUAGCGCGCCUCCGCCCCGCGUGGUCCUGGGCUCCACCAUCGCCUUGUGCAGAUGGGGAUCUGCCACGCGACGGCGCCGUCGGGGCAGGGGUAGCUUGAUUACAAGCUCGACGGUGACGCGCAUAUUUGGUCCUCGAGCUGACUACGGCAACAACGUAGUGAUGAGAUGCUAAUGGACUAGAUUUCCUUGGCAAUUCUAGGAAACUAUAGUUCAUGGACACCCCCAAAAUGUAUAGUUCAUGACAAUCAAAUUAUGUUCUUUUGCCAUUGAAGGUCCAAUUUUACAUUUGUUAAUAUGUCCCCCAUCGAAACUUAGUUGCCAUGCUUGUGUCUUUUCUUCAGG